CCUACGGGGGGCUGCAGUGGGGAAUAUUGCACAAUGGGCGCAAGCCUGAUGCAGCCAUGCCGCGUGUGUGAAGAAGGCCUUCGGGUUGUAAAGCACUUUCAGCGGGGAGGAAGGCGGUGAGGUUAAUAACCUCAUCGAUUGACGUUACCCGCAGAAGAAGCACCGGCUAACUCCGUGCCAGCAGCCGCGGUAAUACGGAGGGUGCAAGCGUUAAUCGGAAUUACUGGGCGUAAAGCGCACGCAGGCGGUCUGUCAAGUCGGAUGUGAAAUCCCCGGGCUCAACCUGGGAACUGCAUUCGAAACUGGCAGGCUAGAGCCUUGUAGAGGGGGGUAGAAUUCCAGGUGUAGCGGUGAAAUGCGUAGAGAUCUGGAGGAAUACCGGUGGCGGAGGCGGCCCCCUGGACAAAGACUGACGCUCAGGCGCGAAAGCGUGGGGAGCAAACAGGAUUAGAUACCCCGGUAGUC
rnacentral:rRNA from 1 species